rnacentral:rRNA from 1 species
CUUAGGAUGAACGCUAGCGACAGGCCUAACACAUGCAAGUCGAGGGGCAGCACAAGGAGCAAUCUGAGGUGGCGACCGGCGCACGGGUGAGUAACACGUAUGCAACCUGCCUGUAAGCGGGGAAUAACCCGUUGAAAGACGGACUAAUACCGCAUAAUACUAAAUUACUGCAUGGUAAUUUAUUUAAACAUUUAUGGCUUACAGAUGGGCAUGCGCAUGAUUAGCUAGUUGGAGAGGUAACGGCUCCCCAAGGCAACGAUCAUUAGGGGUUCUGAGAGGAAGGUCCCCCACACUGGUACUGAGACACGGACCAGACUCCUACGGGAGGCAGCAGUGAGGAAUAUUGGUCAAUGGACGAGAGUCUGAACCAGCCAAGUCGCGUGCAGGAAGAAUGUCCUUAAUGGAUUGUAAACUGCUUUUGCAGGGGAAUAAAGUGCAUCACGUGUGAUGUUUUGUAUGUACUCUGCGAAUAAGGAUCGGCUAACUCCGUGCCAGCCGCUGC